AUUGAACGCUGGCGGCAGGCCUAACACAUGCAAGUCGUGCGGCGCGGCGGACGGGUGAGUAAUGCCUAGGAAUCUGCCUGGUAGUGGGGGAUAACGUCCGGAAACGGGCGCUAAUACCGCAUACUAUCAGAUGAGUCUAGGUCGGAUUAGCUAGUUGGUGGGGUAAAGGCCUACUAAGUCGACUAUCCGUAACUGGUCUGAGCGGAUGAUCAGUCACACUGGAACGGAGACACGGUCCAGACUCCUACGGGAGGCAGCAGUGGGGAAUAUUGGACAAUGGGCGAAAGCCUGAUCCAGCCAGGCCGCGUGUGUGAAGAAGGUCUUCGGAUGGUAAAGCACUUUAAGUUGGGAGGCGUUACCAACAGAAUAAGCACCGGCUAACUUCGUGCCAGCAGCCGCGGUAAUUC
rnacentral:rRNA from 1 species